GAGUGCUAAUGGGACGUCGAACGCUUCCCUUGAUUUCAUUUGUGUGGCGGGCUCCAUCUAGUGUUGAAACUGAGAAGUGCAACAGAGUUGAGGUCAAGCUUCUUGUGCGGGCCAUAUUCAAUUAUGUUUUCAGAAUUUGCUGCGGGCCAAUAAAAACUGGACCCCUGCACUAGACGCAUCAUAACAACCCGACUUGGUCUUAUGAAGUCAGACACACGAGUCAGGAAGAUGAGAAAGAAAAUGUGAGAGAAAAAUACAUAAACAAAAAACGAAAUACAUACAUACAUAGUAUAUACAUACAUAUAAAUUUCGUUGUACAUGUGACAAUGACAAAUAAAGAUCUAUUCUAUUCUAUAUAGACAGACAGACAUCGAACGAUCGCCCAUUCGGUUACUCAGUCAUUUGGUCUCAGUCAUUCUGUCACUCGGUCACUCGGUCACUCAGUCAUUCAGUCAGUCAAUCAAUCAAUCAGUCACUCAGUCAAUCAGUCGAUUAAUAAAUCAAUCCAUCCAUCCAUCCAUCCAUCCAUCCAUCCAUCCAUCCAUCCAUCCAUCCAUCCAUCCAUCCAUCCAUCCAUCCAUCCAUCCAUCAAUCCCACUCACUCACAAGUGUUAACUAAUUUGUAAUUGUAUUGCAACCAGUUUAAACUCUAAUGGAAUAUGUGGAUGUCCAUAUCAGUUUUAUCAAAUUCUAAUCCUACAUUACCUUUGUAUAGGGCACAGGUGUCAAACUCAAGGCCCGGGGGCCAGAUGCAGCCUGCCACAUCAUUUUAUGUGGCCCGCGAAGACAAAUUGUGCUUCAUAUUCAUGUGUCAUUACUCGAAUCUUCACUUUUAAUAUUUUAUUUUUAAAUAUUAGACCAGUUUUUACUUGUCUGAUUUAAAAACGAGUUACUUGUCAGUUUGUUUUGUAGCUUUUACUGUAUAUAAUAUGAGGUGCUCACACAUUUAUUUGGGGUGACAGUCAUACCUCCGAAAGAAGCUAUGACUACCCUGCGGCCCGUGAAAAAAUGAGUUUGACACCCCUGGUAUAAGGGAUAGUGUUAGAAUAAUUAGUUUUGCUGAAGCGCUGGUCGGCCUGAAACCGGAGGUCACAUAUCUUCGCUCAAGCCAACAUAUCUGCCAGCCAGCCUUAUACUCCCUUCCUUGUCUUAUCUGUGAGAGGCCCUCACUAGUUAUGAACAGAACACCUUUGUUCUUUGUUAGUUUAAGAGAAGUCCUUUCUCCUUUGAUUGUUUUUGUCCAAGACAGUUUUUUAGUUAUCCCAUAUUUACUCAUAUUUGUUUAAGUAGACUUCAUGCAAGUUAUCUCACAUCUACUUAACGUUUAUUGGAGUGUAUGCCAAUACACCUGAGGAUUCCAGCGGGCGUCAGCAGAGAUCCAGAAAGACCGCGCGCGGCAGGACCUCCCUAGGUGGGGUCCUAGAAUCCUUUUCAAGGGCUGGCUCGUCAGCUGGGAUCUAAAUGUUGAAGGCAAUCCGAGGUGCAGAGGUGAAGAGAACCAGAGGGAUGCUUGGUCUCCAUGUGUUGAAGCAGUUUUGAAUGCUUCAUUGCCUGGUUAGUUAGCGUGUCGCCACAUAUUAGCUUUGCGGGCUCGACUGGGAAAACAUGUCACGUGACCGGGACGAGUGUCUUGACCUGAAUUAAUUGAUCGUCGAUCUUUUUUUUUUUUUUUUCUGUGCGGCUUGGCGGCCCGGUACCAAGUGACCCACGGAGCGGUACCGGUCCGCGGCCUGGUGAUUGGGGACCACUGGUCUACAGGACGUGGACAAUGGAGGUUGUAAGGAGAGCAUUAGAAGGGGUGGUUCCUUGUAAAGAAGACGUGGAACAAUUCUGUGCAGGUAUGGAAGACUUGAGGAGAUCUUACAAUCUGAAUGGGACUGAAGUCCAACAAAUUUGGAUGACUGCUUUGGGUCCAGAUUGGCACCUAGUCAAAGGGGACUGGGCACCCAUUAAUGCCCGGGAUUACCGUGUAUAGUGCGCCCCCAUGUAUAAUACGCACCCUAAAAGUGGCAUG